rnacentral:sRNA from 1 species
AGAUGCGCGCAACCGCGGGAGCAGCCAAGUGGACUCGACUCUUUUCUUGACUUAGCUACCAGGUCCGUCUCACCCAUGAAAUAAAACACAAGAAUAUUGUAACUUUUCAUGAAUGGUAUGAAACAAGCAAUCACCUCUGGCUAGUGGUGGAACUCUGCACAGGUGGUUCCUUAAAAACAGUUAUUGCUCAAGAUGAAAACCUCCCAGAAGAUGUUGUGAGAGAAUUUGGGAUUGACCUGAUUAGUGGAUUACAUCAUCUUCAUAAACUUGGCAUUCUCUUUUGUGACAUUUCUCCUAGGAAGAUACUCUUGGAAGGGCCUGGCACACUGAAGUUUAGCAACUUUUGCUUGGCAAAAGUGGAAGGUGAAAAUUUGGAAGAGUUCUUUGCUUUGGUGGCAGCAGAGGAAGGAGGAGGUGAUAGCGGGGAAAAUGUCCUGAAGAAAAGCAUGAAAAGUAGAGUCAAAGGAUCUCCUGUAUAUACAGCACCAGAAGUUGUGAGGGGUGCUGAAUUUUCCAUCUCCAGUGACCUCUGGUCUUUGGGCUGUCUGCUUUAUGAAAUGUUUU